rnacentral:lncRNA from 1 species
UGAGAUUGGAGAUUGAACAUGAUGAUGCAGCUUGCUUUCGUCGUCACAAAUCACAAUGUCAUCGUAGGCCUAUUCCACGUCCACAGAAUCUGAAAUUGGCCUAAAAACAACUCUACAACUCGAAUGAAAAGAUGUAGAAGAUUAUUUAAUUCAUUCAAGUUGGAGUGACAACUUAUAUAUCUUGGAAUGGAUAAGUAUCUUAGCUCGGCAAUCAAAUUUGGUAACCAUGGAUACACCAUGCGUCCCACAUGCAUGCAAACUUAUAUUUGAAAAAAAAAAUAUACAUAUACAAAUUGACUGCACCUACACACAGAUCCACCGCGUACGGCACCACCCUCCAUUAACUUGUUACUUCAGAAUCUCACGUAAUUCCUUGAAAUUUUCAGACUCCCCCAAAAUUUUCCCUCAACCCCGUUAAUGCCAAUCUUGUCCUCAAGCUUUCACAUUGUUGUUUCAAAAUUUGGCAAUUUGGUUUCUCACCGCCUUU